rnacentral:rRNA from 1 species
ACGCACGCUGGCGGCGUGCCUAAUACAUGCAAGUCGAACGCUUCUUUCCUCCCGAGUGCUUGCACUCACUUGGAAAGAGGAGUGGCGGACGGGUGAGUAACACGUGGGUAACCUACCCAUCAGAGGGGGAUAACACUUGGAAACAGGUGCUAAUACCGCAUAACAGUUUAUGCCGCAUGGCAUAAGAGUGAAAGGCGCUUUCGGGUGUCGCUGAUGGAUGGACCCGCGGUGCAUUAGCUAGUUGGUGAGGUAACGGCUCACCAAGGCCACGAUGCAUGGCCGACCUGAGAGGGUGAUCGGCCACACUGGGACUGAGACACGGCCCAGACUCCUACGGGAGGCAGCAGUAGGGAAUCUUCGGCAAUGGACGAAAGUCUGACCGAGCAACGCCGCGUGAGUGAAGAAGGUUUUCGGAUCGUAAAACUCUGUUGUUAGAGAAGAACAAGGACGUUAGUAACUGAACGUCCCCUGACGGUAUCUAACCAGAAAGCCACGGCUAACUACGUG